GCCGGGUGCAGUGGCGCACGCCUGUAAUCCCAGUGGCUUGGGAGGCUGAGACAGGAGAAUUGCAGGUUCAAAGCCAGCGUAUGCAACUGCAAGGCACUAAGCAACUUAGUGAGACCCUGUCUCUA
rnacentral:sRNA from 1 species